AGCGAACGCUGGCGGCAGGCUUAACACAUGCAAGUCGAGCGGGCGUAGCAAUACGUCAGCGGCAGACGGGUGAGUAACGCGUGGGAACGUACCUUUUAGUUCGGAACAACACAGGGAAACUUGUGCUAAUACCGGAUAAGCCCUUACGGGGAAAGAUUUAUCGCCGAAAGAUCGGCCCGCGUCUGAUUAGCUAGUUGGUGAGGUAAUGGCUCACCAAGGCGACGAUCAGUAGCUGGUCUGAGAGGAUGAUCAGCCACAUUGGGACUGAGACACGGCCCAAACUCCUACGGAAGGCCGCAGUGGGGAAUAUUGGACAAUGGGGGCAACCCUGAUCCAGCCAUGCCGCGUGAGUGAUGAAGGCCCUAGGGCUGUAAAGCUCUUUUGUGCGGGAAGAUAAUGACGGUACCGCAAGAAUAAGCCCCGGCUAACUUCGUGCCAGCAGCCGCCGUAACAC
rnacentral:rRNA from 1 species